rnacentral:rRNA from 1 species
GACGAACGCUGGCGGCGUGCUUAACACAUGCAAGUCGAACGGAAAGGCCCUGCUUUUGUGGGGUGCUCGAGUGGCGAACGGGUGAGUAACACGUGAGUAACCUGCCCUUGACUUUGGGAUAACUUCAGGAAACUGGGGCUAAUACCGGCAAGGAGCUCCUGCUGCAUGGUGGGGGUUGGAAAGUUUCGGCGGUUGGGGAUGGACUGGCGGCUUAUCAGCUUGUUGGUGGGGUAGUGGCUUACCAAGGUUUUGACGGGUAGCCGGCCUGGGCGGGGGACCGGCCACAUUGGGACUGAGAUACGGCCCAGACUCCUACGGGAGGCAGCAGUGGGGAAUAUUGCACAAUGGGCGGAAGCCUGAUGCAGCAACGCCGCGUGCGGGAUGACGGCCUUCGGGUUGUAAACCGCUUUCGCCUGUGACGAAGCGUGAGUGGCGGUAAUGGGUAAAGAAGCACCGGCUAACUACGUG